CCCAGACUCCUACGGGAGGCAGCAGUGGGGGAUAUUGCACAAUGGGGAAACCCUGAUGCAGCAACGCCGCGUGAGUGAAGAAGUAUUUCGGUAUGUAAAGCUCUAUCAGCAGGGAAGAGAAUGACGGUACCUGACUAAGAAGCCCCGGCUAACUACGUGCCAGCAGCCGCGGUAAUACGUAGGGGGCGAGCGUUAUCCGGAUUUACUGGGUGUAAAGGGAGCGUAGACGGCUGGUCAAGUCUGAAGUGAAAGCCCGGGGCUUAACCCCGGAACGGCUUUGGAAACUGUGCUGCUGGAGUGCAGGAGAGGCAAGUGGAAUUCCUAGUGUAGCGGUGAAAUGCGUAGAUAUUAGGAGGAACACCAGUGGCGAAGGCGGCUUGCUGGACUGUAACUGACGUUGAGGCUCGAAAGCGUGGGGAGCAAACAGGAUUAGAUACCCUCGUACCA
rnacentral:rRNA from 1 species